GGAAUCUUAGACAAUGGGGGAAACCCUGAUCUAGCCAUGCCGCGUGAGUGACGAAGGCCUUAGGGUCGUAAAGCUCUUUCGCCAGGGAAGAUAAUGACUGUACCUGGUAAAGAAACCCCGGCUAACUCCGUGCCAGCAGCCGCGGUAAUACGGAGGGGGUUAGCGUUGUUCAGAAUUACUGGGCGUAAAGCGCGCGUAGGCGGACUAUUAAGUCAGGGGUGAAAUCCCGGGGCUCAACCCCGGAACUGCCUUUGAUACUGGUAGUCUUGAGUUCGAGAGAGGUGAGUGGAAUUCCGAGUGUAGAGGUGAAAUUCGUAGAUAUUCGGAGGAACACCAGUGGCGAAGGCGGCUCACUGGCUCGAUACUGACGCUGAUGGACGAAAGCGUAGGUAGCGAAC
rnacentral:rRNA from 1 species